rnacentral:rRNA from 1 species
UACGUAGGGUGCAGGCGUUUAAUCGGAAUUACUGGGCGUAAAGCGUGCGCAGGCGGUGAUGUAAGACAGUUGUGAAAUCCCCGGGCUCAACCUGGGAACUGCAUCUGUGACUGCAUCGCUGGAGUGCGGCAGAGGGGGAUGGAAUUCCGCGUGUAGCAGUGAAAUGCGUAGAUAUGCGGAGGAACACCGAUGGCGAAGGCAAUCCCCUGGGCCUGCACUGACGCUCAUGCACGAAAGCGUGGGGAGCAAACAGG